rnacentral:lncRNA from 1 species
CUUCUCUCCUGAUGCAACUGACCCACUGUAUCCAUCCGCGUACAAUCAACAUCGGAGAGGGCACGAUACUCUACAAUGGUGGAAGACCCCUCGACUUAAUAUUAUUGAGAAAAUUUUAAGUUUUGAUCUCUUCUACAUAGUCACAUAUAUCUCAUGUAAAUGACAUGUCUAGUUCAAAUCAGCAUAUCUCAUGUCUGACUAACCAGAUUUAGGUAAGCACAUCUCAUGUCUGAUUAACCUGAUUUAGGUUAGCACAUCUCAUAUCUGAUUAAUCUGAUUCAGGUCAGUACAUCUUAUGUCUGAUUGAUCUGAUUUAGUUCAGCACAUCUCAUAUCUGAUCAACCUAGUUUAGAUCAAAAUAUCUCAUGUUUGAUCAAUCUAGUAGGUAUGGGUGAACUCGAGUCGACAAGUAAUCUAAUACAAAACAUAAUCUUCCAAAAUAGUCAGGUAAGUUAAGAUGAGUGGAGGUCCCUCCAUUACUUUUUUUAGACACCAACGAAUUGAUCAGAUCAAACAAUAGAACUAAUUAAAGAACCAUCAUUUAAAUACUUACCUUAGAUACUAAAUUGGUCGAUUAGAAUCAAUCAGAUUU